UACGCAGGGUGCAAGCGUUAAUCGGAAUUACUGGGCGUAAAGGGUGCGUAGGCGGUUCGUUAAGUCUGUCGUGAAAUCCCCGGGCUCAACCUGGGAAUGGCGAUGGAUACUGGCGAGCUAGAGUGUGUCAGAGGAUGGUGGAAUUCCCGGUGUAGCGGUGAAAUGCGUAGAGAUCGGGAGGAACAUCAGUGGCGAAGGCGGCCAUCUGGGACAACACUGACGCUGAAGCACGAAAGCGUGGGGAGCAAACAGG
rnacentral:rRNA from 1 species